rnacentral:rRNA from 1 species
UACGUAGGCAGCAAACGUUGUUCGGAAUUACUGGGCGUAAAGAGUGUGUAGGCGGUUUUGUAAGUUUGGUGUGAAAUCUCCCGGCUUAACUGGGAGGGUGCGCCGAAAACUGGAAGGCUAGAGUGCGGGAUGGGAGAGUGGAAUUCCUGGUGUAGCGGUGAAAUGCGUAGAUAUCAGGAGGAACACCUGUGGUGUAGACGGCUCUCUGGACCGCAACUGACGCUGAGACACGAAAGCGUGGGUAGCAAACAGG